CAGCAGCCACCGCAGCUCUUCCCACAGCUUCCUCCCAGUGAUGCACACUGACCGCUCAGGGCCGCCACGCCACAGCGAGAGAACUGGUCACGACACAGAUCCGCUACACGGGCACACAGAGCAGCUCUCAUGCGUCCUGUGAGUGAAGGAGGACCUCGCAGCGCCACAUUGUACUACCCCACAUCUGGAGUCUCCUCCCUCCAGUCCAGUCCGGCCUCCAGCCUCCAGGCCCUGGUCCCAGCACUGACCUGUAAAAAGGUAACCGCAAACUGGUCACCCAUCUGGAAGAGCAACAUUAGAGCUCAAUUAUGGGACACACACUAAUGAGCUCCUAUAGGUGGCAUGUGUAAAUAAUUACAUGCCAACAUCUGGAUACCCUGACCAAGAUGCCUUAUAGGAUUUUUACCUUUUCAGAUAGAAUCCUUAAAGGUUCCUAUAAAAUUUUCCACAUCCUCUGAGACAGUCUAAGGAAAUAGGUUUGGGUUUGCACAGUGGCGGAUCUUCCAUGGGGACAUGAGGGGGCAGUGCCCCCCCUGUGAUCUGAUUGGGUACCCUGUGAGCCCCCCCAAAAUUUUCAUUGGAAAUUUACAUUACUAAUACUCCAAUUUCCAACGCUCCUGAAUGCAACUUCAUUGUCCGACUGUGCCUGAAUGCACGAACGAUGUUCGUUUGAUCUUUUGAUUGUAUUUUGUUUGGAUUGAAGAAGCUUUGAAGACAUUUCCUGAGGAGAAGACAAGCAGCUUUGUACCUUUGUGGUAAGAAGAUUGGGGCCGUUUCUUAGUACGUAACUGUCCGCACUUUCGUUCUCACAUACUUGUGAAACGUGAUCAUUGACACUGCAUCGGACCAGACUAGUGUGCAUAGAUAGAUAUGAAUCAGUAGAUAGGACCAUAGAUAUGAAUCAGUAGAUAGACCAUGCCUUUUUGAGCUGCAUUCUAUAGCUAGGCUAAGCUAGUGGGGGCAAAGUUUCAGAGCAGAACAAGUAUGCCGUCUCACUGUACUGCAUACAGUUGCACACUAUAUCGUACGAUUGAGACUAGGAAACUUGGAAUAACUUUUCAUAGUUAAGAAUAGCUUUUGUCUCUUUUUUCAUUAUUAAAUCUUGUUAGAGCUUCCAGUCUAUGAGAGCUAACUAGUUAGCCGCUAGCAAAACACUAACACGAGCUAGCAGCUUCACAACCAAAUACCAGACAAUUAAUAGUAGCUGUAGUAUAGUUGUACAAGCAGUAGUAGUAAUAAUAAAAGUACAAGCAGCAGUAGUAAUAUAAAUAGCUGUUGGAGUCGUAGAAUUAGUAUCAGCAUGUGUAAUAGUAUUACAAGUUGUAGUAGCAAUGCCAGUAUCAGCAGCAGUAGUUAGUGUACUAUCACUACUAGUAGUAGUAGUCACAUUAAUAAUACUACCAAUAAUACUACCAAUAGUAGUUUAAAGCCUAAUUCAUAUAAAUCCAGAUUACCAUCUAUGUUCUUCCUCUAAACCCAUUUUAUGAUUGGGAUUACAGCCAGUUCUUUAGGACUGCUCUCAAAUAAUUGAAAUGUUUCUGAACAAGGUUAUACUUUAAAAGUACACACAAAACCCCCCACAGAGACACAAAACAACCACAGAGACACAAAACAAUCAUUAAAAGACACAAACAACCACUAAAAGACACAAAACAACCACAAAGAGACACAAGACAACCACUAAAAGACACAAACAACUUAACACAAAAAUAAAAUACAACAUGGUUAACAAACAAAUGAAAUACCUUUGGUCUCCAGUAUAUUGGCUAAUUUGGUUCAUUUUCCUUAAUUUAUUAGCAUGAUUUCUUUUUAAAUAUGUUGUGUACAGGUAGCUAACACUUAUUACACUUUGAUGUACAUUUUCAAAGUCACAUUUUUGAAAUCAAGUAAUUUUUCCAUAAAACAUAUCAUGGCUUUUAUUUUGUCAGAGAAAUUUGGAAACGUCGUUUAUCCAUAAUUCCGCUAACUUGACUGAAUGUGGGCUGCAGUUCCCGUUAUUUAAACAUCAGUAUGAUGUAUAAAUGCAGAUGGACUUCAUAUAUUUCACUAUGCAGACAUAUUUAUUGAUGUCCUGCAUAUUUUAUAGACAUAAACAUAUUUGAUAGAAAUAUUAGAAAUGGAUAAACGGAUAAGCAAUGUUUCCUUUUACUUCCAGAAAAAUAAAAGCCUCAUAUUUGCUAUUUAUUAAAAAAUCACUAAAAGCAACACUUCCACCAAGUUUGUUUUAGUUUGUUGGCAUUUAUCGGUGGAGCAGCAGCACAUUUUCUACUGUCCGUUGUCUUGUUUUAAUCAGUUUUCAGUUCAGUAAUUCAGUCCUUCGGCUGAUUGGACCAACAGACACUGAAGGACUCCGACAGCUGGUUGGUAAUAAAUGAUAAUUUACUGAUCGGUGCUGGUUUUAAUUAACUUUAUGUUCAACUUUAGAGUCAGAUAUAAUGUGAGCAGUGAACCCCAGGAGUUGGUGUCAUCGGUGUUCACGGUCAGGUCUGUGGUAAUCUGUCAAAAAACAAAACAGAAAAAAAUCUAGAUUAUAAAUCAACAUGUAACCAGAGCACUCUGUGUAUAACACCAUAGUAUAGGAUGACCUUGUCCUGACUUAUGGCAUAGAAAUUGAAGAGUUAACAGUAUUUCCCCAGAACCCUCUUCUUUCUGACCAUUUUAUGAUAACAUUUCAAUUUAAAGUAAAGGAUUGUUUAGCAGCUGAGAACAAAUAUCAUUAGAGUAGAUGUUUAUCUGAUAAUUCAGUAACUAAAUUUAAGGAAAUAAUACCCUCUCUGUUUACUUCAACAACAUUUACUGAAAAAUCAGAAGGCAAAUAUUAUAAUUUUACCCCCACAGAAGUGGAUUAUUAUGUUAAUAAUGCUUCAGCCUCACUGCGUACAACUCUUGAUAGUGUUGCACCUGUAAAAAAAGAAAGUUAUAUCUCAGAGAGGAUUUGCUCCUUGGUAUAAUUCCCAGCUGCGGACUUUAAAGCAGGCAUCCCGAAAGCUGGAAAGAAAGUGGUAUUCCACUAAUUCAGAGGAAGUGUAUGUGGCUUGGAAAAAUAGUCUAGUAUUCUAUAAAAAUCGCUUCAUAAUGCCAGGACAACUUAUUAUUCAUCUUUAAUAGAGGAGAACAAGAACAAUCUUAGGUUUCUCUUUAGCACUGUAGCCAGGCUGACAAAGAGUCAGAGCUCUGUUGAACCUUGUAUUCCUUUAGCUUUAACCAGUAACGACUUCAUGAGCUUCUUUACACGUAAAAUAGUUAUGAUUAGAGAAAAAACAGUUUCUACAUCUAAACCAUCAACAUGUCUUUUAGAUCCUAUCCCAACUAGACGCUUCAAGGAGAUUUUACCUUUAAUUAAUUCUUCAAUGUUAGAUCUGAUUAAUCUCUCUCGAGUAACAGGCUAUGUACCACAGGCUUUAAAGGUUGCUGUCAUCAAACCCUUGCUUAAAAAGCCCACUUUAGAUCCAGAUGUGUUAGCUAACUAUAGACCAAUAUCCAACCUACCAUUAAUCUAUAAAAUUCUGGAAAGAUCAGUUGCAAAUCAAUUAUGUGAACACUUACAAAGGAAUAAUUUGAAGUGUUUCAGUCAGGCUUUAGAGUGCAUCAUAGCACAGAAACAGCUCUGGUGAAAGUUACUAAUGACCUUCUCAUAGCAUCAGAUAAUGGACUAGUCUCUAUACUUGUUUUGUUAGAUCUUAGUGCAGCAUUUGACACAAUCGACCACAAUAUUUUAUUACAGCGUCUGGAACAUUUAAUUGGCAUUAAAGGGACAGCACUGGACUGGUUUAAAUGCUACUUGUCAGAUAGGUUCCAGUUUGUGCACGUCAACAAUAACUCUUCUGAGCAUACUAAAGUUAAUCAUGGAGUUCCUCAGGGUUCUGUCUUAGGACCGGUACUUUUCACAUUAUACAUGCUUCCUUUAGGCAAUAUUAUUAGGAAGCAUUAUAUUAAUUUGAUGAUGACACACAAUUGUAUUUAUCUAUGAAGCCAGAUGAAACUGAUCAGCUAGCUAGACUGCAAGAUUGUCUUAAGGACAUUAAAACCUGGAUGACUUUUAACUUCCUACUGCUAAAUUCAGACAAAACUGAAGUCAUUGUAUUUGGCCCCAAACAUCUUAGAAACUCGCUUUCAAAGAAAAUAGUUACUCUGGAUGGCAUCACAUUGGCCUCCAGUACUACUGUGAGGAAUCUUGGAGUUAUUUUUGACCAGGACAUGUCCUUUAACUCACACAUAAAGCAAGUCUGUAGGACUUCCUUUUUUCACCUGCGUAAUAUUGUAAAAAUCAGGAACAUCCUGUCUCAGAGUGAUGCAGAAAAACGAGUUCAUGCUUUUGUUACUUCCAGGCUUGACUAUUGCAAUUCCUUAUUAUCGGGUUGUCCAAAUAGCUCUCUUAAACAUCUACAGUUGAUCCAAAACGCUGCUGCGAGAGUACUGACAGGAGUUAGCAAAAGAGAUCAUAUUUCCCCUAUACUUGCUUCUCUUCACUGACUUCCUGUUAAAUCCAGAAUAGAAUUUAAAAUCCUUCUUCUGACAUAUAAAGCUCUUCAUAACCAAUCUUAUCUUAAAGAUCUGAUAGUACCAUAUUAUCCUAGUAGAACUCUUCACUCUCAAACUGCAGGCUUACUUGUUGUUCCUAGAAUUUCUAAAAGUAGAAUGGGAGGCAGAGCCUUCAGUUAUCAGGUGCCUCUCCUGUGGAACCUGCUCCCAGUUUGGGUUCGGGAGGCAGAUACCCUCUCUAUCUUUAAGACCAGGCUUAAAACGUUCCUUUUUGACAAAUCUUAUAGUUGGGGCUGACUGGGUGACCCACAGGGGUUCGGCUUGUGUCUUCGUUUCCACAGCUGACUCCCUCUUGGACGUCCCUUCGUUCUGCCUCUAGUCAUGCUGCUAUAGGCCUAUAGGCUGCUGGGGGACUUCUCUGGAUUCACUGAGCCCUUCUCUAUCUACCUUUACAUUUAAUAUGUAUACCAUUAUUGCAUUACAUUCACUCUGUUUGCCCCUGUGUUAUUUCUCCGAGUGUCCCUGGUCCCAGAGCUGGAUGCUUCAGAUCUACGGUCGAUGUUCCACCAGCUGGUCCAGUCUCCAUCAUGUCCACUGUGGGAUGCUGCUGCUGACCUUCCUCCAGCCCUCCGCUUCCAGCUCCCCUUUUCCACCAGUCAACUCUGCAUCGCCUUCACUAUACUUGUUAUGCUAAUCUACAUACUGUUUGAAUUUUACUGCUAGCUAUAUAUGUAGUAGAUUUAAUGUCAGAGCCGUACAUCAUAAGAGUAAACUAUGAGUCACUUUUCAAUGUCAGCUUAUACUUUGUUUGAGUCAUAUCCUGUCAUACAUGUAUCCAAAUGUGUGUUGUGUUUUCCAUGCUUUCCCACCCCUCCCUCUUCUCCCAUCCCUCCCCCUUGCCCUCCUCUGUCCUUCUCAACCCGCCCGGCCAGCAGGCAGAUGGGUCCCCCCUAUAUAGAGCCGGGUUCUGCUCGAGGUUUUUUCCCUGUUAAAAGGGUGUUUUUCCUUGCCACUGUCGCCUUUGGGCUUGCUCUGGGGGUCAAGCAUAUGGGUUCUGUAAAGCGUCUUGAGACAAUUUGAUUGUAAUUGACGCUAUAUAAAUAAAAUUGAAUUGAACUGAAUUAAAUCAACAGUUGGUAAAUAUUCUGAUAAUCUUUCAGGGAGCUUGCAACAGCACUUCUCACUCUUCCCCAAAUUUUUAUAUACCAGAUAAUCAAUCAAAUUAACGUAGAGAAUAAUCCAUAAUCCAGAUCAAUCCAUGCUGAAGAUAAUCAUUAGUUGCAGAAAAUAACUUAAAAGUAGAUUGUGCUUUUACAUUAAUGCACAAGUAAUGAUAAUCUAAUUAUCUAACAUGUAACGGGACAUGUUUCUGCACUGUGUACUUUCAUGUGUAACGCUUAAAGCCCUUUUUCAUUAUACAACUUGCUUACUUUUACUUAGGUAGUAUCUCAAUUUUAGAACUUUAACUUGUAGCAGAGUACUGUAACAGUGUGGUUUCAGUAAAGGAUGUGAAUAUUUCCUCCACCAUUGCCAGCUCGUGACAAAUUUAUACAGGAUGAAUGCAAUCAGAUUGGAAGUAAUAAUCCUUGACAGAUGAAAUACACUGUUUGCUGUCCACCUGCAAUUGCAGAUUGUUUAAACAGGAGAAAAAAAUAUAUUUAAAAUAUAAUGCACCAUUCAAAUCUCUCUUUAAAACAAUAAGUAUAAUUAGGCUUUUAAGGAGAUUUUAUAACAGACAGGUGUUGCCUUUACCCUGUAAGCUUUGGCCCUAUGCUGUUCUUUCAGGUCAUGUCAGAUGUACUGCACUAAAAUGACACCCAACACCCACUGCAGAUUUAUUUGUUUUCAGAUGAAUAUUGUGUCUCUGACUGUUACUGCCUGUGUGAGUGGCUCAAGUGAACCCAGUGAAGCGGCCAAUGGUAGUCCCUGGGCCCUGUUUUUGAGGCACCUUCUCGAAAAUGAAAAAAAUAAAUAAAAAUGCUAUAUCUCUGGAAAUACAACCUCUAUGUGAAUAAUCUUGAUAUCAAAAUAAAGGUAAGACCAGUGAGAUUUCAUCAGAGGUGUAACCAUCACUGUAGGUGCCACUGUGUCAAAGUAAAUGCAGAAGAAACACAGGAAAAAAUGAAAGUUUGUUUAUUCUCGCCUAAAAAAAACUUUUUAUAGUAUCAAUUCCAUUUGAAAAUUAGCUGUGAGCUCCCUAAAUACUCCAGAAACAUAUGUAGUAACUUCUUGACAUUUCCUGUACAAAGCUGCAAGUGGCUACAGUAAAGCAGGGCAAAAUUAGAGGUUUUAGUAAAGGAAUGUCUGGGCGUUAUCCAGUUUGGCACAAUUUGGCACCACCUGUGCCACUUGAGUUUUCUUUGGCACCAAAUGGUAAAACUAAUUUAUUUUCAAUUCCAUGUCAUUAUGGCUCUAAAAUAAACUUGUUUUAUUAUAUAUAUAUACCCCCCAACACAUUAUAUAAAAAUAAAGCCAUACAAAAGGAUUACGUUUGCAUCCAAAAGGAGCAGAUUUAUUCUACACAAUAGCAAUAACAGUAGUAACAAUAACAGAAUGCAAUCCAGAAAUAGAAAAAUUAAAAAAAAACAAAAAAAAAAAACAAAAAAAAAACAACAA